GACAGAGGUGCCGAGCGUUAGGCGGAAUCACUGGGCUUAAAGCGUGUGUAGGCGGAUCUGUAAGUACCUUGUGAAAUCCCACGGCUCAACCGUGGAACUGCUUGGUAUACUGCGGGUCUUGAGCCACCUAGGGGCAAGUGGAACAAACGGUGGAGCGGUGAAAUGCGUAGAUAUCGUGAGGAACACCAGAGGCGAAGGCGGUUUCCUGGACAGUUACUGACGCUCAGGCACGAAAGCAUGGGGAGCAAAAGGG
rnacentral:rRNA from 1 species